rnacentral:rRNA from 1 species
AGAUUGAACGCUGGCGGCAUGCCUUACACAUGCAAGUCGAACGGCAGCACGGGAGCAAUCCUGGUGGCGAGUGGCGAACGGGUGAGUAAUAUAUCGGAACGUGCCCAGUCGUGGGGGAUAACGCAGCGAAAGCUGUGCUAAUACCGCAUACGAUCUAUGGAUGAAAGCGGGGAUCGCAAGACCUCGCGCGAUUGGAGCGGCCGAUAUCAGAUUAGCUAGUUGGUGGGGUAAAAGCCUACCAAGGCGACGAUCUGUAGCUGGUCUGAGAGGAUGAUCAGUCACACUGGGACUGAGACACGGCCCAGCCU